GACGAACGCUGGCGGCGUGCUUAACACAUGCAAGUCGAACGGAAAGGCCCCCAUCUUGGUGGGGGUGCUCGAUUGUCGAACGGGUGAGUAACACGUGGGUUAUCUGCCCUGUACUUCGGGAUACACUUGGUAAACUGGAUCUCAUACCGGAUAUGACCAUGGUUUAGUGUCUCAUGGUUGAAAGAUUAUUGUUUUCUUUCUGUAUGCGCUCACGGCCUAUCAGCUUUUUGGUGGGGUAAUGGCCUACCAAGGCGUCGGCGGGUAGCCGGCCUGGGAGGGUGGACGGGGACAUGGGAAAUGGGAUACGGCCCAGACUGCUACGGGAGGAAGGAGUGGGGAGUAUGGGACAAUGGGCGGAAGGAUGAUGGAGCGACGCGGCGUGGGGGAUGACGGGCUUCGGGGUGUAAACUCCUGUGGUGAGAGACGAAGCCACGAUUUGUGAGAGUGGUGACGGGAACUUUGUUAAGAAGCACCGGCUAACUACGUG
rnacentral:rRNA from 1 species